rnacentral:rRNA from 1 species
AUUGAACGCUGGCGGCAUGCCUUACACAUGCAAGUCGAACGGCAGCAUAGGAGCUUGCUCCUGAUGGCGAGUGGCGAACGGGUGAGUAAUAUAUCGGAACGUGCCCUAGAGUGGGGGAUAACUAGUCGAAAGAUUAGCUAAUACCGCAUACGAUCUACGGAUGAAAGUGGGGGAUCGCAAGACUCCAUGCUCCUGGAGCGGCCGAUAUCUGAUUAGCUAGUUGGUGAGGUAAAAGCUCACCAAGGCGACGGUCAGUAGCUGGUCUGAGAGGACGACCAGCAACACUGGGACUGAGACACGGCCCAGACUCCUACGGGAGGAAGCAGGGGGGAAUUUUGGACAAGGGGGGCAGCCCUGAUCCAGCAAUGCGGCGUGAGUGAAGAAGGCCUUCGGGUUGUAAAGCUCUUUUGUCAGGGAAGAAACGGUUUUGGCUAAUAUCCAGAGCUAAUGACGGUACCUGAAGAAUAAGCACCGGCUAACUACGUGCCAGCAGCCACGGUAAGAC